rnacentral:rRNA from 1 species
GACGAACGCUGGCGGCGUGCUUAACACAUGCAAGUCGAGCGGUAAGGCCCUUUCGGGGGUACGACGAGCGGCGAACGGGUGAGUAACACGUGGGUGACCUGCCCUCAGCUCUGGGAUAAGCCUGGGAAACUGGGUCUAAUACUGGAUAUGACUCCACGGUGCAUGUCGUGGGGUGGAAAGCCUUGUGCGGCUGAGGAUGGGCCCGCGGCCUAUCAGCUUGUUGGUGGGGUGANGGCCUACCAAGGCGACGACGGGUAGCCGGCCUGAGAGGGCGACCGGCCACACUGGGACUGAGACACGGCCCAGACUCCUACGGGAGGCAGCAGUGGGGAAUCUUGCGCAAUGGGCGAAAGCCUGACGCAGCAACGCCGCGUGGAGGAUGAAGGCCCUUUGGGUUGUAAACUCCUGUCGGCUGGGAAGAAGUUGUUCG